CUAAGGAUUUGGAUUUACCCAGGCCCAUCCUCCUGGGCCUCUCAUAGGGUCCCAUGCCAGAGCAAACUGUGUCCCUGAACCAUUGCCUGGCCUCUGUGCCUGCAGGCUGCUGGCACUGAAGAGGAUGGCACAGUG
ensembl:snoRNA